GAUUGGAAAAUAACUGACCACUCAACAGCUGACAUGCCUUGAAAGAGAAAUGCAGUGCAUUUUUGUGCAAGGUGGAAAUGACCUCAUAAACCACAGACCUAGCAAGAAUUCUGAACCAGUGCCUUCUGAUAGAGACUUACCUACAAACCAGAGUGGAUAGAAAACAGUGGAUUGGUGAUGUCACUGAAGAUGGAGCUUAUUUUCUCUGUUUAUUUUUUGGGAGAUUGACUUUUGAAUCAGCUGUAGGUUCAGAGAAGAAUUGAAUGGAAGACACAGAGAUUUCCCAUUUACUCAUGUCUCCAAUAUUGAAUUACCUUUUCCAUUAUCAACAUCUCCCACCAGAGUGACGUAUUUGUUGCAAUUGAGGAGCUGACAUUAACACACUCAGAUUUGGUGAUUUUUUUUUCUUUUUUACAGUAUAACAGAAAUACUAUUAGUUAGAUUUUUUACUUAAUUUGAGGACUAUGUUUGGGGCUACAUGCUGUAUAAUUAGGUAGCCUAGUUUGUGCUCUGAUGACCAAUUAAAUCUUAAAGCUUAUUGACCCAAGACAGGAAAAAUGUAUUUAUUACUCAUUCCAUAUAUUCCAUUCUGCUGGAUGGGUGGAUGCAGGAGGUGGCAUUCAACUUCAUGUGAUUCUCUCAGAGAUUCAGGGUGCUGCAUAAAUCCUCUGACAAUUUAAAAUAUGGUCUGUGGUCAUUGAUGCAGAGAUGAGAGAUCUGUAGGAAAUAUACCUGUUAAGUGUGAUUUUAUUCCAUUUGCUAGAUUAGUCACAUGGAAUGCUAGAAAAUGUCACUUUGCUCUAUGCCCAAGAAGAGGAAAACAUGGCGAAUACACAGUAUUAUCUCUGUGACACAUAGACUAUUUGAAAUUUACAUCAGUGAUAGAUUCAGAGAGACAGAAGAUAUGUUUAAUGAAGUAACAACCCAAAGCAUGAUAUUCUUUUGUGACUGCUGACCUCAUGAGGCAGGUUAUAAAUUUUAAGAUGACAUUAAAAUAACCAAAUAAGUUAAUAAUGUGAUCACUAUAUUUCAAAGUAUAUAACCAUUGCUUUUAAUUAUAGCCUUUUUUAAAAAGUCUAUUUGCUUCUUACAUGAACAACAUUAUUUAGUCAUUAGUUACUAAACUAACGGUUCAGUAGUGAUAGAAACUCAUCUAAGCUUUGCUAGAUGGAUUUUUAAAUUUCUCAUGUGUGUUUUUUCUUCCUUUCUGUCCCUAUUUCUCUAAUGUUGCCAUGUAUCUAUACAUUUAAGACUAAAAAUGGAGACACCAAAGUAGUCAAGAGAAUCUUGAUGCUUUUCUGUAACUUUACAAAUAAAAUACAAAGUCAAUGUAUUAUUUGUAAUUCAGAGAAAAAUCACUAAAAGUUUUAGAUGUGACUAUUUUAUAUCAUAUCAGUUAUAAUUAUACAUAUAUCCCCUCCCUCUUUGAGCACCCCCUCUCCCGAUCCUACCCAUCUAGGUUAUCACAGAGACCAGGCUGAGCUCCCCAUGCUAUCGAACAGGUUCCCACUGGCUAUCUGUUUUACACAUGGUGAUGUACAUAUGUCAAUACCAAUCUCUCAAUUCAUUUCAACACCUGUCUCUUUGAGUACAUCACCAAUGUGAAUUUCAUAUACACUAAGUGUGGCAGAGACAAAAAUGAUAUCCUCAGACAUUUCCUCUUCCUUCCCCUGCCUUCCGCGUAACUGAUCUGGCAAAUGAGAAAAUUUGUAAAGUGAAGUGUUUUGUUUUUAACGUGAAGAAAUGUUGGAGUAUUUUAGGAAUCAAGACAAUAUCCUCAAAAUUUGGUUUUAAGACUUGGAUAAAAACAUAAAUGAAUUGCAUUAUAUAAGUCUCUAGCCUACAAAUAUGAAUAUAUUUGACCUCAUAAAACAGGCAUAACAAAGUAAACAAAAUAUUUUUCUUAAAACAGGCAUUAGAUGGAAGUAAACUGGAUGUUAAUGUGACAGAAUUGUCAAUGAUAUGAGUUCUUUCUACUUAAAAUUGUUAUGAAUAUUAUCUGAUUCUAUUUUGUUUUUAUUAUUUUAAUUUAAUCCACUUGUUGAUGUAUUGAUUAUUAAGGAGAGCUAUGAAUGAUUCUUUUGAACUUUAUUUGAGAAGCACAGAAGCAAGGAAAGAAAUAUGAAGACAUUUAACGUAUAAAAAUUAUUAAGAAGAGCAAAACUCACCUUCUAUUACCUAAUUUAUUUUGUUGCCAAAGAAGUUUAAAAAAAAAGUCUUUAAACAUAAGUAUAGUGCAUUUUAUUCUCAUAUAUUCUUUUAAGAUAUCUGGAGAGUAUUAGAAUACCUUUGAGCCCAUUAAAGCUAAUUAUUUUCUAGCAAAAUGUUUCUGGCUUGC